AACAAGAACUCGAGAAGAACCAUUGAUUUGUAGGAUUGUUUCCAUUCCUUCCACUCAAUGCUAUGCAGCCUGAAGUUUGCAGCCAACAAAGGACAUCAACAAUUCUCCAAUAAUCAUCAACCUCAAAGGACGCCUCAGCUAUUGUUGUCAUUGUUUUAGCAUCAGGGCUGCCUGGAUCUUUGUUUGUUGCUUCCUCUGCCAACCUUGAGAACAGAGGCAAAAAAAGGACUAAUUUCAAAUUAUAUAUUAUUUUUACAACUACGGGUUUUUGAAUCACCCUGAUGCAUUUUGCAUCGAUGUUGAAAUAUUCAUGGGUGGGUGGUAGUCACUAUGGUUUGAAUUAAUGAUAGUUUUUGUCCCGUCGA